UACGAAGGGUGCAAACGUUGCUCGGAAUUAUUGGGCGUAAAGCGCACGUAGGCGGCUUAGCAAGUCCCAUGUGAAAUCCCACGGCUUAACCGUGGAAGUGCAUGGGAAACUGCUGAGCUUGAGUACUUAAGAGGAUCGCGGAAUUCCCGGUGUAGAGGUGAAAUUCGUAGAUAUCGGGAGGAACACCAGUGGCGAGGCGCCCGGCUGGCAGUGGCUGACGCUGAGGCGCGGACAGCGUGG
rnacentral:rRNA from 1 species